rnacentral:sRNA from 1 species
GCCUCGUGGACCUGCGAGGGGGAGAUGAGGUGGACGUGGGUGUCGAUGCCGCCGGCGGUGAGGAUGCGGCCCUCGCCGGAGACGACGUCGGUGGACGGGCCGAUGCGCAGGGCGGGGUGGACGCCGUCGGCGACGUCGGGGUUCCCGGCGCGGCCGAUGCCGCACACCACGCCGUCGCGCAGGCCGACGUCGGCGCGGUAGAUCCCGGUGUGGUCCAGCACGACCGCGUUGGUGAUGACGGUGUCGGGCGCGCCCUGGGCCCGGGUCGUGGUGCCCUGGGCCAUGGACUCGCGGAU